rnacentral:rRNA from 1 species
GACGAACGCUGGCGGCGUGCUUAACACAUGCGAGUCGAACGGAAAGGCCCUGCUUGCAGGGUACUCGAGUGGCGAACGGGUGAGUAACACGUGGGUGAUCUGCCCUGCACUUCGGGAUAAGCCUGGGAAACUGGGUCUAAUACCGGAUAGGAGCCAUUUUUAGUGUGAUGGUUGGAAAGUUUUUUCGGUGUAGGAUGAGCUCGCGGCCUAUCAGCUUGUUGGUGGGGUAAUGGCCUACCAAGGCGGCGACGGGUAGCCGGCCUGAGAGGGUGGACGGCCACCUUGGGACUGAGAGACGGCCCAGACUCCUACUGGAGGCAGCAGUGGGGAAUAUUGCACAAUGGGCGCAAGCCUGAUGCAGCGACGCCGCGUGGGGGAUGACGGCCUUCGGGUUGUAAACUCCUUUCGCUAGGGACGAAGCUUUUUGUGACGGUACCUAGAUAAGAAGCACCGGCUAACUACGUG